rnacentral:sRNA from 1 species
UACUCUUAAUCGUCGCCGUGUUGCUAAUAGGAAUCUAAGGGCCUGACUGGUUUAAACGCAGCGGGUGCGGUUGCGGUUGCGGGAGUUUGCGGAAACGGGCGGUUGCGGUUUCAAGCGUUAUCAAGUGUUUUGAACGACUGGUUGAGCGUUUGGUAAUAGGUGCGUUUGCGGGAGUUUUAUGACUGAUAAACCAGCGGGUGCGAUAGUAAUUAAAUAAAAAAUAACCAAAAUAAAUAUAAUAUAUUACUAUUAAAAGA